AUAUUAUUCCUCCGUCCAACAAAAGAUGUUUCAAGUUCGUCAAAAUUUGGAUGUAUCUAGACAUGACUUAGUGGAUAGAUGCAUUCAAAUUUGGACAAAAUUGAGACAUUCUUUGUUGGACGAAGGGAGUACUAA
rfam:Brachypodium distachyon strain Bd21 chromosome 5, whole genome shotgun sequence.